rnacentral:rRNA from 1 species
GAGUUUGAUCCUGGCUCAGGAUGAACGCUAGCGGCAGGCCUAACACAUGCAAGUCGAGGGGUAACAGAAAAGCUUGCUUUUGCUGACGACCGGCGCACGGGUGCGUAACGCGUAUGCAACCUACCUCAUACUGGAGGAUAGCCCCUGGAAACGGGGAUUAAUACUCCAUAGUAUCACAAUUUCGCAUGUUAUUGUGAUUAAAGUUUUUCGGUAUGAGAUGGGCAUGCGUCCCAUUAGCUUGUUGGUGAGGUAACGGCUCACCAAGGCAACGAUGGGUAGGGGGCCUGAGAGGGUGGUCCCCCACACUGGUACUGAGACACGGACCAGACUCCUACGGGAGGCAGCAGUGAGGAAUAUUGGUCAAUGGAGGAAACUCUGAACCAGCCAUGCCGCGUGAAGGAUGACGGCCCUAUGGGUUGUAAACUUCUUUUAUAGAGGAAGAAACUUGUCUACGUGUAGACAACUGACGGUACUCUACGAAUAAGGAUCGGCUAACUCCGUGCCAGCAGCCGCGGUAAUACGGAGGAUCCAAGCGUUAUCCGGAUUCAUUGGGUUUAAAGGGUCCGUAGGCGGAUUUUUAAGUCAGUGGUGAAAGCCGACAGCUCAACUGUCGAACUGCCAUUGAUACUGGAAAUCUUGAGUACAAAUGAAGUAGGCGGAAUGAGUCAUGUAGCGGUGAAAUGCAUAGAUAUGACUCAGAACACCGAUUGCGAGGCAGCUUACUAACAUGUAACUGACGCUGAGGGACGAAAGCGUGGGGAGCGAACAGGAUUAGAUACCUUGGUAGUCCACGCCGUAAACGAUGAUUACUCGCUAUUGGCGAUACACUGUCAGUGGCUAAGCGAAAGUG